AACGAACGCUGGCGGCAUGCCUAACACAUGCAAGUCGAACGAACCCUUCGGGGUUAGUGGCGCACGGGUGCGUAACGCGUGGGAAUCUGCCCUUUGCUUCGGAAUAACUCCGGGAAACUUGUGCUAAUACCGGAUGAUGUCUUCGGACCAAAGAUUUAUCGGCAAGGGAUGAGCCCGCGUAGGAUUAGGUAGUUGGUAGGGUAAAGGCCUACCAAGCCGACGAUCCUUAGCUGGUCUGAGAGGAUGAUCAGCCACACUGGGACUGAGACACGGCCCAGACUCCUACGGGAGGCAGCAGUGGGGAAUAUUGGACAAUGGGCGCAAGCCUGAUCCAGCAAUGCCGCGUGAGUGAUGAAGGCCCUCGGGUCGUAAAGCUCUUUUACCAGGGAUGAUAAUGACAGUACCUGGAGAAUAAGCUCCGGCUAACUCCGUG
rnacentral:rRNA from 1 species